rnacentral:rRNA from 1 species
UUAAAUGGAUUGACGGGGAGCACCACAACGGGUGGAGCUUGCGGUUUAAUUGGAUUCAACGCCGGAAAUCUUACCGGGACCGACAGCAAUAUGAAGGCCAGGCUGAAGACUUUGCCGGAUUAGCUGAGAGGUGGUGCAUGGCCGUCGUCAGUUCGUACUGUGAAGCAUCCUGUUAAGUCAGGCAACGAGCGAGACCCACGCCCACAGUUGCCAGCGUACUCUCCGGAGUGACGGGUACACUGUGGGGACCGCCGCUGCUAAAGCGGAGGAAGGAAUGGGCAACGGUAGGUCAGUAUGCCCCGAAUAUCCCGGGCUACACGCGAGCUACAAUGGUUGGUACAAUGGGUAUCUACCCCGAAAGGGGAUGGAAAUCUCCUAAAGCCAAUCUUAGUCCGGAUUGAGGGCUGCAACUCGCCCUCAUGAAGCUGGAAUCCGUAGUAAUCGCGUUUCAACAGAACGCGGUGAAUACGUCCCUGCUCCUU